rnacentral:rRNA from 2 species
GACGAACCGUGCGAACGUUGUUCGGAUUCACUGGGCUUAAAGGGCGCGUAGGCGGGUGAUCAAGUCCGGGGUGAAAUCCUCCAGCUCAACUGGAGAAUAGCCUUGGAUACUGGUCGCCUCGAGGGAGGUAGGGGCGGGCGGAACUUCCGGUGGAGCGGUGAAAUGCGUAGAUAUCGGAAGGAACGCCGGUGGCGAAAGCGGCCCGCUGGACCUCUUCUGACGCUGAGGCGCGAAAGCCAGGGGAGCAAACGGG